rnacentral:rRNA from 1 species
GCCUUACACAUGCAAGUCGAACGCGAAAGCAGGGGCAACCCUGUGAGUAAAGUGGCGAACGGGUGAGUAAUGCAUCGGAACGUGUCCAGUAGCGGGGGAUAACCUCUCGAAAGAGGGACUAAUACCGCAUACGACCUACGGGUGAAAGAGGGGGAUCGCAAGACCUCUCACUAUUGGAGCGGCCGAUGUCGGAUUAGCUAGUUGGUGGGGUAAAGGCUUACCAAGGCGACGAUCCGUAGCUGGUCUGAGAGGACGACCAGCCACACUGGAACUGAGACACGGUCCAGACUCCUACGGGAGGCAGCAGUGGGGAAUUUUGGACAAUGGGGGAAACCCUGAUCCAGCCAUGCCGCGUGGGUGAAGAAGGCCUUCGGGUUGUAAAGCCCUUUCGGUGGGGACGAAACGGUGCGCGCUAACACCACGCACUACUGACGGUACCCACAGAAGAAGCACCGGCUAACUACGUGCCAGCAGCCGCGGUAAUACGUAGGGUGCAGGCGUUAAUCGGAAUUACUGGGCGUAAAGCUGCGUAGGUGGUCUGUUAAGUCUGAUGUGAAAGCCCUGGGCUCAACCUGGGAAUUGCAUUGGAUACUGGCAGGCUAGAGUGCGGUAGAGGGUAGUGGAAUUCCCGGUGUAGCAGUGAAAUGCGUAGAGAUCGGGAGGAACACCAGUGGCGAAGGCGACUACCUGGACCAGCACUGACACUGAGGCACGAAAGCGUGGGGAGCAAACAGGAUUAGAUACCCUGGUAGUCCACGCCCUAAACGAUGCGAACUGGAUGUUGGGAGCAACUAGGCUCUCAGUAUCGAAGCUAACGCGUUAAGUUCGCCGCCUGGGGAGUACGGU